rnacentral:rRNA from 1 species
UACGUAGGGCGCGAGCGUUGUCCGGAAUUAUUGGGCGUAAAGGGCGCGUAGGUGGCCCGGUCAGUCUUUGGUGAAAGCGCGGGGCUCAACCCUGCGUCGGCCAGGGAUACUGCCGCGGCUGGAGCACUGUAGAGGCAGGCGGAAUUCCGGGUGUAGCGGUGGAAUGCGUAGAGAUCCGGAAGAACACCGGUGGCGAAGGCGGCCUGCUGGGCAGUAGCUGACACUGAGGCGCGACAGCGUGGGGAGCAAACAGG